UACAGAGGUCUCGAGCGUUGUUCGGAUUCAUUGGGCGUAAAGGGCGCGUAGGCGGCGCACCAAGUCAGGCGUGAAAGCCCUGGGCUCAACCCGGGAAUUGCGCUUGAGACUGGUGUGCUUGAGUACGGGAGAGGAUAGUGGAAUUCCCAGUGUAGAGGUGAAAUUCGUAGAUAUUGGGAAGAACACCGGUGGCGAAGGCGGCUAUCUGGACCGUAACUGACGCUGAGGCGCGAAAGCGUGGGGAGCAAACAGG
rnacentral:rRNA from 1 species